UUUUUUCUGUGUGUGUGGGGGUGGGGGGGGCUGGAGAAAAUGUCAUGUUUCCGAAAGAAGUGUAGUAUUUUGGAGAGAAAAUGUUUUGUUUUCGUUUGAAAGGUGGCAUUUUGUGGGAGAUGAUGCUUAACUGUGGGGCGAAAAGUAGGAUCUGGGGGAGAAAAUCCACUUGUGGGGGGAGAAAGUAGGUAUUUUGCGGGAGAAGAGGUCAUCCUUUGCGGAGAAAGUGUUAUCUUUUGAGGGAGAAAAGAGGUAUUGUGGUGGGGACAGUGUCGUAUUUGGAGAAGAAGAGGGGUAUUUGUGGGGAAACUGUCUUAUUGUCGUGAGAAGGGUGGUAUUUUGGUGGAGCAAAGGUGAUGUGUGGUGUAGAGAAGUGGUAUUUGGGGCUGUAAGGCGUCUUAGUUUGGGGAGCGCAGUGGUAUGUGGGGGGAGAGAGUGUCUUCUUUUAGGGAGCACAGUGGUGUUUUGGGGAGAAAAGUCUGAUUUGGGGGUGAAGAGUGGUUUUGUGGUCGGGAAAAUGCCUUCUUUUCUUGACGAAAGUGAGAUUUGGGUCGAGAAAGUCUCAUCUAUGGAGGAGAAAAGAG
ensembl:lncRNA